ensembl:snoRNA
UUCCACGUUACCAUGGGAGCUGUACCAUUAUUUCAGUCUCCCUUCCUAGGCGUGGUACAAAAUUCUCCUCAUUUUUGCCACAAUUAGCUUCAUGUGCAUUAGUCACAUGUUGCAAGGUUAGAGUGAUGGAC